rnacentral:rRNA from 1 species
CCUACGGGGGGCUGCAGUGGGGAAUAUUGGACAAUGGGCGCAAGCCUGAUCCAGCAAUGCCGCGUGUGUGAAGAAGGCCUGCGGGUUGUAAAGCACUUUAAGCAGGAAAGAAGGGGUGAAAGUUAAUACCUUUCAUCAUUGACGUUACCUGCAGAAUAAGCACCGGCGAACUCCGUGCCAGCAGCCGCGGUAAUACGGAGGGUGCGAGCGGGAAUCGGAAUUAGUGGGCGUAGUGUGCGCGGUGGCGGGUGAAAGCCCUGGGCUUAACCUGGGAACUGCGGUGGAUACUGUCGGGCUAGCGUGUGGUAGAGGGGAGUGGAAUUUCCGGUGUAGCAGUGCAAUGCGUAGAGAUCGGAAGGAACACCAGUGGCGAAGGCGGCUCCCUGGACUAACACUGACGCUGAGGUGCGAAAGCGUGGGGAGCAAACAGGAUUAGAUACCCUUGUAGUC